CUACUUUGCUUUGCCCAGGAAAUCAGUAGAGCGUCAUUCUGGAAUCUGCAUUCUCCUCUUCUGUUCUCUUGGGCUCGCCUGCGCAGGUGUUUGUCAUGGACGAUCUUCCAUUGGAGAAAAUUGCGAUAUUAGGCCCCACAUUGGCCUCAAUGAUCCAACGGCUUUCCUCCUCCGCAGGCGACGUUGACGGUCUCAUAUUCGGCCACAUCAACCGCAUCACCACCUCCACUCUUCCCGAUGACUCUCCCUCCGGUUACUUGUCUACGGAUCCAUCCUCCGACUCCCCGUACCAGCUUGUUGCCACCAUAACCAACUUCCUCUGCUCCGGGACCACCCUUUCCUUCUACGACUCGCUCGGUCUAGUCGAUCCACGAAGAGUUGACUCUCUCCGAGCCACUUCCACUUCUCACCUUCUCGGCUGGUUCUCUGCUCGCCGCAAAACUCCUUCCCGCCCUUCCAUGCGUGAAUUCUCUGUAACUUCUUUUCUCUCCUCUCACUUCUCCCUCUUAAUCACAAACCCUCAAAACCCUAACCCCAGACUCUCCUCCUGCCUCUUCCUCCUCUUCACCACUCCGUUAAAUGAUCAAUUCAUACACACGCACGAGUACCGCGCGUACCAGUUUUGCACGUCGAGGCAAUCGUUAGAUCCGAGGUCCGUCGAUAUAGUCAAUAUCGGGCCAGCGUUUCGGGGGCAUUAUGGGUCGUUUAUUCCCAGUUCUCCAUUCCCGUCGCUGGGAUGCGAGCUGAGGACCUCCUCUAUGAGCGAGGAUAGGCAUGAAGAUAGUUUGAGUGGAAUGAAACAGGCAAUAAAGGAUCAGAGGGAGAUAGACGCCUGCGCGGAGGGGUUUCAGGUGGCGAAAUUGAACCGUCUACUGGGAUCAGACGCCGCGAAUUAUACUGGGGGGGUGGAGGAUUUGUAUGAGAAGAUGCUCACUAAGAUUGAGAGCGUGGCCAGACUCGUUGAGGAGAGCUCCGCCAAGGUUUUUGAGCAGGAAAAUCACAAUAGGAAGUUAAGGUACAGAGCAGCCAGACUGGAGUGAUGAUGGCUUUGUUACUCUUCUGUUUGAGGUCCUGCUUGAGAAAACGAACCUAAGCAAAUCCCGUACAACAAAUCAGUUUAAAGAAUUCGAUAUGUAUAUCACUGAGGGGUUGACCGAACCUGGUUCUCAAGUCUUCUUGACUCUUCACAACUCUCUUUGUCUUGACCAAGUUAAAGGUUUGAAGGGAGAUUUCCUUGCAUAAGACUUAAAUAGAAGAAUAUUUGGAGAAAGAGAAGCAACCUGCCUGGUAGAUGUUCAAGUUUGUAGCCAUUGAUCUUACGCCAUAAUUCUGAGCUUGAAUUGGUUGCUUAUCAGAAGACUUGGGUGAUUCUUUUGUGUUGUCUGGCUUCAGUUGGUAAUUACUAAGAGGAGGAGAGGAUGGCACUGUUGCUGGCUUCCUUUUUUGAUCACAUGCACACUUAAAAUUGUCGUUACCAUAUGAAGAUUCAAAUUGUCCAAAGCCAA